AACGAACGCUGGCGGCAUGCCUAACACAUGCAAGUCGAACGAGACCUUCGGGUCUAGUGGCGCACGGGUGCGUAACGCGUGGGAACCUGCCCUUAGGUUCGGAAUAACUCCCCGAAAGGGGUGCUAAUACCGGAUAAUGUCUUCGGACCAAAGAUUUAUCGCCUUUGGAUGGGCCCGCGUUGGAUUAGCUAGUUGGUAGGGUAAAAGCCUACCAAGGCGACGAUCCAUAGCUGGUCUGAGAGGAUGAUCAGCCACACUGGGACUGAGACACGGCCCAGACUCCUACGGGAGGCAGCAGUGGGGGAUAGUGGACAAUGGGCGAAAGGCUGAUGCAGCAAUGCCGCGUGAGUGAUGAAGGCCUUAGGGUUGUAAAGCUCUUUUACCCGGGAUGAUAAUGACAGUACCGGGAGAAUAAGCUCCGGCUAACUCCGUG
rnacentral:rRNA from 1 species